GUGUACUAUAUCCCACGCCUUCUGCCGUGGCCCCAGGCCAUUGGACCCGGAUCGUCUAAAUAUUUUCGUGGAUGCCGGAUACGGCCUAAGAAACCAUAGUCACCGCCCCGCCAUGACCAAAUAACAAUUUUUGGGAGUUUACCGCCAUAUAAUUGGGAAUCCGCGAGAGUCCCAAAUUUUCGUGUGCUAUAUCCCACGCCAUCUGCCGUGGCCCCGGGCCAUUGGACCCGGAUCGUCUAAAAUUUUUUCUUGGACGCCGGAUACGGCCAAAGAAACGAUAGUCACCGCCCCGCCAUGAUCAAAUAACAUUUUUUGGGAGUUUACCGCCGUAUAAUUAGGAAUCCGCGCGAGUCCAAAAUUUUCGUGUGCUAUAUCCCACGCCUUCUGCCGUGGCCCCAUGCCAUUAGACCCGGAUCGUCUAAAUUUUUUCGUGGAUGCCGGAUACGGCCAAAGAAACCAUAGUCACUGCCCCGCCAUGACCAAAUAAUAUUUUUUGGGAGUUUACCGCCAUAUAAUUGGGAAUCCGCGCGAGUCCCAAAUUUUCGUGUGCU
rnacentral:lncRNA from 1 species